UACGUAGGGUGCGAGCGUUUAAUCGGAAUUACUGGGCGUAAAGCGUGCGCAGGCGGUGCGUUAAACACGAUGUGAAAUCCCCGAGCUUAACUUGGGAACUGCAUUGGUGACUGGCGCGCUCGAGUAUGGCAGAGGGGGGUGGAAUUCCACGUGUAGCAGUGAAAUGCGUAGAGAUGUGGAGGAACACCGAUGGCGAAGGCAGCCCCCUGGGCCAAUACUGACGCUCAUGCACGAAAGCGUGGGGAGC
rnacentral:rRNA from 1 species